rnacentral:rRNA from 1 species
AAAAUACGGGAGGCAGCAGUAGGGAAUCUUCGGCAAUGGACGGAAGUCUGACCGAGCAACGCCGCGUGAGUGAAGAAGGUUUUCGGAUCGUAAAGCUCUGUUGUAAGAGAAGAACGAGUGUGAGAGUGGAAAGUUCACACUGUGACGGUAUCUUACCAGAAAGGGACGGCUAACUACGUGCCAGCAGCCGCGGUAAUUUUU